CGAAAGGACGAUUGCCAAUAUAUAUCUUUUUACGCCGUUUAUUCUUUAUUUGGUACCGCGGUUCAAGGCUGGUCAUGUUAUUGGCGUAAAGAGAGGCAUGGAGACCACUUGUCUUGCAUGUUUAUCAUGGGUAAACCUGCCUUAGCCUGAUGAUGCCGAGAGUUGCAGUAAAAAGCCAUUUUCAUUUGUGAAAGUCGCUCGGAAGAAUAGAAAAACGCCUCAUUCGGGCUUGAAUCGUUUUUUUGUUGUUGUUCUUUGUUUUUUUCUGUUAAUCGGUGUGCCAUUCAGUAGUUGGCAUGCAUUUGCCGGCUGUCAGAGAGCGGGAAGAGGGGCAAAGGCACGACCCACAACAGGUUCGAAGAUUUGGCCACCGCAGAAAUUCCACGUAUCGACGACUUCCGGCUGUUCCAAGAAGUGUCGCAAAUUAAAAUAGCUUUGAUUUUCAACAGAUACGGUGACAAGAAUCAUCUCAUUUUCCGAUUCUGACUGAAAAGGCAGGCCUCCAACCGAGUUGAUAUAUGCAGGAGGGCUCCUGAAAGCCUACUGUCCGACGGUGCUGGCUCUAGGCACUGACAUUCUCCAACAAAUAUGGUUGACAUUGGUUUACUUACACAAACUUAAUUUUUGGAAAGUUAGAGUUGGGCGGAGAGUGAACUUUGUGACGUCACGGCUGCGUUCUAGUGUCUACGGCGCCAAUGUUUCUUUCUCAAACUAAUCCGAAAGGCUGCAGGUCACUGGAAACAUGAAAACCAAGAAUACAAUCGUCCCUCGUCACGGUUUUUUUUGACAAUUGUUUGUGUGAAUUAAAUUGCUGCUUUAUCUCAAUAUUUAAUGCACAGAAUCUGUUUGACUUGACGGUGAGCGCACUCUCCAUGUAGGGGUCAAGAACAAAUGGCAACUGCUGUACGUGUUUGUCUUGGCUGAGGAACUUUUACAUAACAGCUAUAAUACCAAAAACAUGUGACUAAAUAAUAAGGUCGUGUCAUUGCCGAGAUCAAACAUUUGACCGCAAAUGUUUCAAGUCAAUUAAUAUUCAAAUCUCUCUCUCGUUAUUUACUAGAGGGCAAUUUCAGAUGGAGCGAUAGGGUUAAUUGAAGCAAUAUGGUGGAAAACCUGUGCUAAACUGAAGCAAGCAAGCCAAAACACACCUGCCCUGUUAGCUGAUACAAUAUAAACAAAGCUGCAAAACAAUAAACAAACGUUAAACAGUAA